UUAUGACCCCGUCUCCAAAGAGUGGUGGUUACCAAAGCUUCCUCAAUCUUUUAGCCCCAAACCCACCAAACUAUAGAACCGUAGUCAAACUUCUCCUUGCCGAUGUGAGAAUUCACCUAGCUCUUCUUGGGCCGGCAAGUUACUCGGCUAUGGAACCCUUUUCUAGGUCAUUAUGUCUAUCGACCAUGACCAUUAUCUCGUCUACGAUUCGGCCGUGGAUGAUUCUUUGAAAAAUUGUGGUAUCCCUUGCGCCAAUUUGCUUCAUAGCUUU